rnacentral:lncRNA from 1 species
ACACAAGCCUACCCCAUUCUCGACCCUCAAGACUUGAAUCUCCCUCCCAAGAAGAGCAGCUCGGUUGCUGCAGAUAUGAGCAGAUCAGAUUUAGUUCUCGAAAUGGAACAAAAUGUCCUCAAUCUCCCCAACAGCCCAGAUAUUAGAAGAGAGCAGAAUGGUCAAAAAGGUAAGGCCGACCCUUUAAUCUCCAGCGAUUUGAUUGGCGCACAUAAGGGUGGAUUAGAUCUGGACAAAGACCUAAUGGUUCGAGAGCUUCAAGCAACCUUCGACUCCCAUCUUGCGUCCCCAAACCCAGAUAUGAUCAUUAACAAUAAAGCCGAUCACAGGGCAACACUAGAUCAGCUAAGUGAAGAGGAAGAAGAUGGACGAACACAGCAAGAACACCCAGAUCUGACCAGUGAAGAAGAUCAUGGACUCUCUAGUUCCUUUCAGCGACACCCACGACCUCGAGUUGCAGCAAUACGCCAAAGAGGUAGCUUUCCUAAUCAAAACCAGAACACAUACCGGUCUGAUAUGCUCAAAUCUCCAGUACGAAGUAGGAGUAUCGGUGCCUGUGACCUUCAAAGCGCCUCAGAGGAUCCUUUACAAAUUUCUCGAUCACCCAACAGCCACGUCGUUGGAGUAGAUAACAGGGGAAAAUCAAUUCUGCUACAAAGUCAAGCGGCUGGGGACCAACACCAACGAGCAACACCAGAUCUGCUCAGAGAGGAAGCCGUAUGUUCUCUCAGUUUUGAACAGCGACCCACCUGUCCGCAAGGAGCCAUAGCGUGUAUAUGCAGGGAUGCUCUGGGUAGAAUUGUUGAUGGGUUUACUAAAUCUAUAAAAGUGAGUUCGGCUGAACAAGCG